ensembl:lncRNA
CUCUCCCUUGAUUGUUCUCUUCUGUCUGUUCCUUUCUGGCUUCUUGAACUGCAGCCUCCUCUCUGGGCUUUCCUGCCGUGCUUGAUGCAUUUGCAGCUCCUUGGAGUUUCCCAGGUGGGUCCACGCCUCCUGGGCCUCCUUGCCUCUUCCCUUGUGGUGCUCUUGUGGCUUUUUCUCCAGCUGGCUGGAUCCAUGCGGGCCUAUUGCCCCAUUUUCUCGGCAUUGGUGUAUGUGGAUUGUUCUCUGUCAUCUUCCCAGGCCUAGAUGCUGAGUUUUGCCUCUUCCAGACUCUGUUGUCAUCUUUGCUUUUCCGUGAGAGUGUAUUCUGUUCUGUUAUCGUUGGUUGCUUGUUUUUGAAUGUGGUGUUUGUUGUUGUUUCAUUUAUUGUUAUUGGCUUUCUUUGAUGUGCGUGGGGUUUUUUGUUCUUUUUUUCAGUUUGGUGCUCUUUUUUUUCUUUGCUGUUCCUUUCUUUGCACUGUAUUUUUUUCCUAGCAGCGUUUCUAUUCCUUUCUCUUGUACUAGAAAUUGUAGCUCCUAACACUAAUCCAAAUGUAUAAACCACAAGUCUGAACUCUAAAUCACACAGGUGUAUGGGAACUGUAUAAUCACAGCCUGACCCUCUGUUUGACCACCUGAGGCGAGUGCUGAGUCAGCUGCAGGGGCACAGGUGAUGGCAGUUUCACCUGAGUGACCGGAAGGGGUGGACCCUGGCUGCAGCCCUGCUAGACCCCAUGUAAGGGCUGACUCCCAAGGAGGAAGGAUCUCUACCUGGAGGUCACCCUUAGUAGAGCCCUUCUGCGCGCCCAGGGUACGGGUAAGCUUUUUAUGUCAUUCCUCCUUUGGAAACGCGCUCAUCUCUCUGCUCCUUUACCUGUUUGCCUUACAAUCUGUUUGCCAUACACACAGGUAAUGUUUAACCCUCCUAAUGGGUAGCCCUGAAGCCUUUUCUGUAAAUGCAACAGGGAUGGCGUUAGCCCUCAUCAAGUAAGGGCCACCCUUAGUCCUAACAGCAAAGGGUAGCCCUGGAGGAUUCCCAUUUUGGUUAUGGUUAACUCUAAUCCGAUGUGGUAACCGUUCACCUGUCACUGAAGGGAAGCCCUUCAUCCUAACCUACUAUGGUAACUCUUCAUCCUAAACGCUAGCCUCUAACAGUAACCUUUAAGCCAAUCCUUAGGGGUUUUCCUGAAGCCUUUGCACUGACUGAACUUGGUAGCAUUUCCACGUGAAGCCUUAUCUAAUGCAGUAACCCGCCAAUCUGAUGCCAAAGGGUAACGGUCCGCAGUUAGUAGUAAGACUAAAUAGUAGCACUUAACCGUAAUCCAGCAGGGGAUGAGGCCGAGCUUGUCUUCUGCCAGGGCUGCUCUCAGCCCCAGGGCACGGCGAGCGGCUGCGGGCAGUGCAUCUCCCAGCUGAGGUGCCUGUAAACAUCUGCCAGCUGUCCUUGUGGACGGCCCGUCAUCGUCAUGGGAACUGAUUGUAACAGCACAAAGGUUCCAGGAGCGUGGGUGAUGUCAGCUGUGACAUCCUCUGGGGGGCCUAGAGCCGCCCUUUUUUGGCCUUGCAGCCCAUCAAGCCAAAGCCUGCUGUCCUGCACGUGGUCCCACCGGGCAGAAACUCUUGGGACGGAGGAAGGUUCAGGGGAGGGGACAGAUGCCUGAGGGCAUUCUUUGAUUCCAUCCCGAGAGUUGUCUUUGUCUUUGUUCUUUCCAUGUCGUGUGGUUUUCCUUUGCUUUUCCUUUUGCUAUUUAACAUCUUUUCUUUCUUUUAUGCUUCUUUCUCUGUUGCUUUGCAUUGCACUGCUUUGGUUGUUUGUUGGGUUUUUUUUUUUUUCCUUCUUUUCAGGCCAAGCCCCAGGGGCUGCUAGGGCAAUGUCCUCACUUGGAGGGGGAGGCUGGGUUUCCCAUCUGAGGGCUUCAUGCACAAAUAGCAAGGAAAACUCAGACACAGAGCAAUCCUAAGCAAAGGCACGCCUUUUCUGAGACUGUCUCAAGCUCUCAGCUCUUUUUUCCUACCAGGUAACUCCCCUGCUUUUUUCCAUCUCUUAUUACAACAAGAGAGAUUGCCAUCGCUCUUACAACAGCUCACCAAAUAAUGUUCUUACCCACAGAAGCUUUCCCUUUUCCCUUUUCUCAGUAAGAGUCGCUUGAAUCCCGGGCUGAUUCCCUAAAACCAAGUGUAAUUUUUCUCCUUCGCAGAAACCAGUCACCAACAGAAGUUGUCCUGUUAGCCCACAUCCACCAAAAAUCCCUCAAAUACGCUAAUCUUACAGCCAAACCAGUCCAUAUUUUUUUCAAUUGCAAUGCACUUACGGACUGUAUUUCUUUUGGUCCCUUAGGGACCUCCUUUGACCCAGGCCUCCAACGGAAGUGUACCACUGGUUAACCCAGAAUGGCAACUGUAGACCAAGGCUAUCACAGGCACAGUUUUCCUUUACCCAGGGAGCGGAAAGGAAUCAGUCCAGUAAAUGAAGAUGGAACUGCUUACCCCUUUGUGAGGAAGAGGGCUCACACCGUACUAAACAAGAACAGAAUUUGAAGCAGUGAUCCUUCCCUUGGGGCAGCCAGCCCUGAUAUGAGGUGAGGGAGGGGUGGAACCAGGCUGCCCCCCUUUGUCAUCCAGGUGAAUUGCUUCCCUCUUUUUGCUCCUGAGCAGAACAAGAUUUGAUGAGGAGGAAAGCCUGUGAAGUCCAACAAGACUGCUUUCAUACUUCCUUCCCGUUUGUGUUAGCUGGCUGUCACGGAGUGAUCUAGAUCAGUGUAUGCCUGUGGCGGGGCAGUGGGCCUGUUUUCCUGUGUUUGGCUUCCUUGCUUUGCCAUGAUGCUGUCUUGAGUUCAUGUGCUGGACUCUUGUAUUGCAUGUCUUUGUUUUGCUUUGCUCUGUUUUCCUUGUUGUUUGCCGUUCUUUUGUCAGUCUUGCUUUAUUGCUGCUCCUGUAUUGCAAUACCUUGGUUUUGUUCAGAUGUGGUGAUGGAUACUUUUCCCUUUCCCAUUCUUGGAACUCUUUUCUCCCUCCUUCAUGGUGUUCCUCUUUGUUUCUCGGCUGUUCAGGUGAUUGUGCUUUGCCUUCCUUGGCUUUUUGGUCUUAACUCUUUUGGUUCUUGUUCCUGGAUUUGCUUUCCUCUUCGGCUUUCCUUUUGUAUCUUUGCCUUGCAUUGCUUGUGAAUUUCCUUUUUUUCCGUGCUAUGCACUGUGCGAUGUUCAGGGGUGGUUAAAGGUACGAGGUGCAUGUAUAUGUAGAAGAAAAGCUCUCCUGCUGUGGCUGAGAGUUGAUCCGAAGGAGGCCUCCCGAGCAAGCACCACAAAGGCAGCUUGCUUCUCCAGAGGCUGCAGCAUAAGCUCGUGUUUCUUGUGAAGGACUCUGUUGUGCAUCUGCAGGAGCUGCUUUGGCAUGGAGGAUUUUCUGGAGUUGCUGCCAGUCGUUGCUGGAAAAGAAGCGUGACUUGUGGGCUCUGAGGAGGGGAUUUCGUGUUUUCAUGGCGUACGAAUGCAUUCCCUUUUCUGUGGAAGUGACCAACCAUCUGCACAGGACGCACUGCGGUUUGGCAGCCAUCCCACACUGCCAGUCUUGGCCAGAGGAACACAGACAGCGCCGACAACUGGCAUGCCAGGGGUGGAUGCUGGGAAAAACACAAGGGCUGUGCUUCAGGAGUUUCUGCAGGUGCACUUCACCCUAGUGAUCGCAGUGCUUGUAACUGUGCUGCUGUCUGGGCUGGUGAUGACCUGUAUUGCUGUGUCGUGGAUGUGGCACAAAUAUCCAGUGUGCAAGAGGGCAGAGACAGCUCCAGGACAAGCUCAUCCUGAGAGUGACCGGGAGAGAGGCCAAUCUGGAGGUGAAGGCAGAGCGGAGCUGGGAGAGGCAACAGAAGAUGCCGUAGUUGCCCAAGAAAAAAAGAAUGUGUCCAGCGGAUCCAGCCCGUUCCCCUCCUCCUUUGAAGCAGAGUUUGAACAGCUGUGCAGCAAAAUCAGCACAGACCCUUCCCCUUUGGCCCACGUGUCCCAGCAGCUCUCCCACGGACGGCGUCUCUUCCCCAGAUGCCCGCGGUUCUCGGGGUUCCCCAUAGCCAUCUAGUGCCCCGGUUACCUGUGUCAGCAGGGCUGGGGUCCCCUGGAAGACCCCGCUUUGUGAGUAAUAGACACCCUGUCCAAAAGCAGCUGUUUUGAGCAUUUCCAUGGGGUUCUAGUGCAUAGGGAAGGGCUGGGGAGGCUUGAUAUGUGAAGAGUUGUCCUUGAGCUCUUCUAGGCUCCUGCCCUGAAUCAGGGCAGGCGGCGAGGGAAGGAAGCAGCUGGAAGGGGGAGUUUCCAGCACUGAGCACAUGUGGGAG